AGAGUUUGAUCCUGGCUCAGGAUGAACGCUAGCUACAGGCUUAACACAUGCAAGUCGAGGGGAAACGACAUCGAAAGCUUGCUUUUGAUGGGCGUCGACCGGCGCACGGGUGAGUAACGCGUAUCCAACCUGCCCACCACUUGGGGAUAACCUUGCGAAAGUAAGACUAAUACCCAAUGACGUCUCUAGAAGACAUCUGAAAGGGAUUAAAGAUUUAUCGGUGAUGGAUGGGGAUGCGUCCGAUUAGCUUGUUGGCGGGGUAACGGCCCACCAAGGCUACGAUCAGUAGGGGUUCUGAGAGGGAACGGUCCCCCACAUUGGAACUGAGACACGGUCCAAACUCCUACGGGAGGCA
rnacentral:rRNA from 1 species